AGAGUUUGAUCAUGGCUCAGAAUCAACGCUGGCGGCGCGCUUAACACAUGCAAGUCGCACGAGAAAGUGGAGCAAUCCAUGAGUACAGUGGCGUACGGGUGAGUAACACGUGGAUCAUCUGCCUCUUGGUGGGGAAUAACCCUGGGAAACCGGGGCUAAUACCGCAUAAGCCUGUAAAGGGAAAGCAGCAAUGCGCCGAGAGAGGAGUCCGCGGCCGAUUAGCUAGUUGGUAGGGUAAUGGCCUACCAAGGCAAUGAUCGGUAGCCGGCCUGAGAGGGCACACGGCCACACUGGCACUGAAACACGGGCCAGACUCCUACGGGAGGCAGCAGUGGGGAAUCUUGCACAAUGGGGGAAACCCUGAUGCAGCGACGCCGCGUGAGCGAUGAAGCCCUUCGGGGUGUAAAGCUCUUUCGGCAGGAACGAUAAUGACGGUACCUGAAGAAGAAGCUGCGGCUAACUACGUGCCAGCAGCCGCGGUAAUACGUAGGCAGGUU
rnacentral:rRNA from 1 species